AUUGAACGCUGGCGGCAGGCCUAACACAUGCAAGUCGAGCGAGCGGCGGACGGGUGAGUAAUGUAUGGGGAUCUGCCUGAUGGCGGGGGCUAACUACUGGAAACGGUAGCUACUACCGCAUACCAUCAGAUGAACCCAGAUGGGAUUAGCUAGUAGGUAAGGUAACGGCUUACCUAGGCGACGAUCCCUAGCUGGUCUGAGAGGAUGAUCAGCCACACUGGGACUGAGACACGGCCCAGACUCCUACGGGAGGCAGGAGGGGGGAAUAUUGGACAAUGGGCGAAAGCCUGAUGCAGCCAUGCCGCGUGUAUGAAGAAGGCCUUCGGGUUGUAAAGUACUUUCAGUCGGGAGGCGUUACCGACAGAAGAAGCACCGGCUAACUCCGUGCCAGCAGCCGCGGUAAUAC
rnacentral:rRNA from 1 species